GUUGGAGUCAGAAUAAAAGGAAGGGAUGCGCGCAGGGUCCUUGAACGUCACAAAUAAGUUCACGAGGCUGACAGAACGAGGAUUCUCCUGUUGAUUCAGCUCACCCCGCACCUUUCAGGGAUAUUUCAGGAGCACACCUCUCACCUCUAUAUGGCAAAGUUCCUUGCUGAAUUACUGGGAUGCACACUUCCAGACAAGGGCACUCCACCUUUGUUCGAGUGUCGGAGCCAACCCCUCGGGCUGAGGCCUUCCUCCAAACAGCGGCAAACAAUCUUUGGGACAUUAUCCAAUGAGAGAGUGCCGUUUGACAACAGA